ACGGUCGCAUCACAUUGAAACACCGGUUCCCGUACGAUCGCCGAAGUUAAGCAAUGUCUAACCUGGUCAAUACCUAGAUGGGUGACCAUUUGGGAAUACCAGUUGCUGUAAG